rnacentral:rRNA from 1 species
GAUGAACGCUGGCGGCGUGCCUAAUACAUGCAAGUCGAGCGAACAGACGAGGAGCUUGCUCCUCUGACGUUAGCGGCGGACGGGUGAGUAACACGUGGAUAACCUACCUAUAAGACUGGGAUAACUUCGGGAAACCGGAGCUAAUACCGGAUAAUAUAUUGAACCGCAUGGUUCAAUAGUGAAAGACGGUUUUGCUGUCACUUAUAGAUGGAUCCGCGCCGCAUUAGCUAGUUGGUAAGGUAACGGCUUACCAAGGCGACGAUGCGUAGCUGACCUGAGAGGGUGAUCGGCCACACUGGAACUGAGACACGGUCCAGACUCCUACGGGAGGCAGCAGUAGGGAAUCUUCCGCAAUGGGCGAAAGCUUGACGGAGCAACGCCGCGUGAGUGAUGAAGGUCUUCGGAUCGUAAAACUCUGUUAUUAGGGAAGAACAAAUGUGUAAGUAACUAUGCACGUCUUGACGGUACCUAAUCAGAAAGCCACGGCUAACUACGUG